GUUGGACCAACUCGCGCUCCAUCUCGGAAAGCCCGUACAUCGACACGGCGCGGCGGAGCCACAGGCUCUCGCCGGGCUCGCGGCGGCGGCGGCGGCGGCGCGCGGAGCAGCUCGCUGGCGAGCGCGCCUGCGCACCACCCGCAUGAGGGGGAGGCCACACGACGGCGGGAUCCGCCGCGCCGUCAAGAGAGACUGCUGAAAGAUCCUCAAUAGUGUGCAGUUUACUGAUUUCGAACAAGGAAAAAACAUAUCGUACCAAAGCAGACUCUCCUCUUGAGGGUGAUACUUGCCAUGCCCUUGAUACCAGUGGUUGUCGUACUCCUUUUGAGUUUGUUCACGUUGGUGGCCUAAUAAUUGAUUGGCCAACUAAAUCACUAUUAUAUCUUCAGCUUCAUGGUUACUGUCCACUAACACGUUAUGAACGGGUUGGUUUUCCAAAGGAGCAGUCUGGCUUGUCUAGAGAGUGAGGCACAGGCUUACAACAGCAUUCACAUUCAUUUCCUAAUGAGGUAAGCCUAUCAAUGUUCUCUGUUGGUUGGAUUCGUUUGUUUUAUGCACCAUUGAUCAAUUCGAAUGUCAAAGAAGCAACAACCAUGUUCUUUCCGUGACAACUUAAUGCUCAUCUUAGUUUAACUGUGUACUACAAGAAAGCAGUAAGGUUAACAAGGGUUGGUGGAGAGUAGAGGUUCUUCAUCUAGGUUCUACAUGCCAGUAUUUAGCUGGUCACGUUUUUUAUCAUGUACAAUUUUUAUGUGAUUCUAGCACCAAGAUAGAAAAUUGUGUUGUUGGAUUAUGCUCCAAAAUCCCAGUUUCAGAUAAGAAAUGCUCAUCAUGUGAUAAUUCACCUACAUUCUUGGAUUUUUGUCAGAUUCAUUCUAGCCAGGGCUCAGUAAAAUGAUGUUGGUUUGACGGGAUACAACGGUCUACAAACCUUCUCAAAAAGCAAUGUGAUUAAUGCCUUUUGUGUCAUGUGCGCGUUUGUUGAUUGUUGUAUUGCAAAUGAAGUCAAGCCUUCCUUUGCGCUGUACUUCUCCCAAGGUUCACAUCAUUAAUCAACUUUGUACUUCUAGUAAAGGUUUGCCUUUUGUUAUGCUCGUCGGUUUGCUGCAAUAAUGCAUGGGAUUAAUUAUGUUUAUUGUGAAAUGGCUUUAUCUGAUGGAAGUGAAGUCUAAUUAUGAAACACUUAAUGUUUGAAAUUACAUGGCAGUCAUGUUUGUAACUACAUCAUUAUGAAUCUGAUUGUGUGAGAAACUGAUACAGUGAAAAUAGAUAGGAAAGUUCUUUUGUUGUCAGUGGCGAGCUUGUACCAAAAUGUGGAUUGAUUCAUAAGUAGAAAAUAAUGAUACUAAACUCUGCCCCUGUUGAUGUGCUCUUUGAAGUUGAAGAGAUCAAUCCUACGUCAUGGAUGCGUGAGAGAAAUUGACCCGCAACUACUCUCUGUGACCAAUUGAUAGAAUCACGUCAAUGCCAAACAGAGUCUCACUGAUAAAGUUAUCAAAUUAUUCAACGUCAUCACCCAAACAACGACUAAAUUAAAGUAGCCGUUUACAUCAAAGUUGUUUGUAAGAAACUUGGGCACGCAAUCGCUUGUUGUCGGCAUGCUUGCCCCACUGCCAAGAUUUGUUAGCUAAGCAUUCAUCUACUCACAGUAGACCUAACAGAGAUAUAUAAUUGCAUAAUUCCUCUUGGCUGCACACUGGGAGGUUUGAAAUACAAGUACCUGGAUUUCUUGUAGAUAAGAGCAUUCCACAAGAGUAGCUUUCAUGGUCAUAGAAAAUAGAUACUGAACUUCCAUCCUACCCGUAUGCACUGUGCAUUGUUUAUGUCCUUUCACUUUCAUUUUAAUCAUUCAAGGAAAACAUGAAAUCUUUUUUUUCGACAUCUGCAAGGUUGAUAUUGCUUACUCAAUAUGGAUAUUUAUAGCAGCAUAACUGGAUAAGUGAUGUAUAUGCCUUGUGUGGCACUCGUAGCAAUAUGCAGUCCAGUAAUGCUGGGGGGCAUAAAUCAAUUUAUAUUUUGUUAUUCAAUGGUACAUCAACCUACGGACAUCAAUGGAUAUUUUGUGGCAUACAUAAACCUACGGACAAUAAUGGAUGUGUUUGUGGAAUUAUAGGUGGUAGAUAUCUUUGUUGACUUGGAGAUUAGACGGGAAGGAAGAGAAGACUAAAGAAAAUACUUAGAUUUAUGCCUUGGGUAUCUCUCAUUUAAAGCUGUAGACAGAAACGGAAUGUUAUGUCUUCAGAACCUAGAUGUUUGGAUCUUAUCUGCUGCUACUAAGUGUCUUUUUCAGCUCAUGUGUUAUCUAAUAAGCAUGGAGCCUUUUUAUUAGACUGAAUUAGCUUGCAUGCUAGUUAUGGAUAAGCAGAUCCUUUGGCAUAGAGUCAUGAAUCGAAUCUAUAAACGAUAAUAUUUUUUAUUUCACUUAGAAUAUGCUAUCUUUUACUAUGUUCAUUUGAUCAAAAGCGUCAUCUUGUACAAUUCAACUUUUAUCCCAAAAGCAUCAUGCAACAUUUCUUUUGUCAAAGUUGGAGAAAAGUUGGGCAUCCAUCAGCAUUUUCUUGAUUCUCGCGAACAUUUUUUCUUAUUCACUACAUAAGUUAUGAGAUUAAGAGUUGAUUGGCUCACUGCUUUGUUUGAAAUUAUAAUUGACUGCAUUUUUGGAUGACUUGUUAUUUUUCCAACAGGGAACAGUUCGAUCCAAAAGUUUUCACAGAUGCAAAUUCCUUGAUGCCAUAGACAUUGGAUGCAGAUGAGCAUUCUAUCUCUCUCAGUCUUGACAUAGAUUCUGCAGUUGUAGCAAGAAAUCUCUGUUUGCUUGCUGGUUGGUCCACUUUUUAGGUGUUCUUAGGUAGGAAAAACAAGCCACAGUAUGGAUUUGUGAUAUUUUUUAGACAACAGGUCAACAGCAACAAUAGCGUCGUCGCUGUCUGUUAAGGAACAAUCCCAAGAGGCGCACUGCAAACAAGGAUACAGUUCAGGAAAAACAUCUCUGCACCAACCAGGAGAAUAUCAGUGGGAGCAGUGUCCAGAAAGGCGGCCGCUUAUGGCUCGGCGGCAUAUAGGCUCCAGACGACGCGCUCUCAUCUCGCUCACUGGUCGUUGGUCGAUUUAUCCUGCAUAAUCGGUGAUUUGGCGCUUGUCUGCGGUGUCACAACUGUCGAGCGCCUUACUGAACACUGAGUGCAGUGAGUGAGAAGUUAUGUUCUCAAAUGUCUGGUGCAGAGACCAGAGUGUCUCCAUCUACGGGCUUGCUUUUCUUCCAUGUGCCAGAGAUUCCUUAUGUACUUGGCACAUUUUUGUUAGUGUUCUAGUGUGUUCUGUCACCUGUUUUACCUCUGUCAGAUAUAUAAAUUGUAUCUAUGCAGAAAUGUGAAUUGAUCAAAUGAAGCUUUAUUUUUCGAGAGAGGAAAUGAUAAAUGGAGCUUAAAUUUA